GGGCCCGCACAAGCGGAGGAACAUGUGGUUUAAUUCGAUGAUACGCGAGGAACCUUACCCGGGCUUGAAAUGCAGAGGAAUAACCCAGAGACGGGUUAGUCAGCAAUGACCUCUGUGUAGGUGCUGCAUGGUUGUCGUCAGCUCGUGCCGUGAGGUGUCGGCUUAAGUGCCAUAACGAGCGCAACCCUUAUCAUUAGUUGCUAACAGGUCAAGCUGAGGACUCUAGUGAGACUGCCACCGUAAGGUGUGAGGAAGGUGGGGAUGACGUCAAAUCAGCACGGCCCUUACGUCCGGGGCGACACACGUGUUACAAUGGGGGGUACAACGGGCAGCUACCUGGCGACAGGAUGCUAAUCUCUAAAAACCUCUCUCAGUUCGGAUUGGAGUCUGCAACUCGACUCCAUGAAGCUGGAUUCGCUAGUAAUCGCGCAUCAGCCAGGCG
rnacentral:rRNA from 1 species